rnacentral:rRNA from 1 species
UACGAAGGGGGCUAGCGUUGCUCGGAAUCACUGGGCGUAAAGCGCACGUAGGCGGCUUUCUAAGUCAGGGGUGAAAUCCUAGAGCUCAACUCCAGAACUGCCUUUGAUACUGGAGAGCUUGAGUCCGGGAGAGGUGAGUGGAACUCCGAGUGUAGAGGUGAAAUUCGUAGAUAUUCGGAAGAACACCAGUGGCGAAGGCGGCUGCACUGGACUGGUAUUGACGUGAGGUGCGAAAGCGGUGGG